rnacentral:rRNA from 1 species
AACGAACGCUGGCGGCAUGCCUAACACAUGCAAGUCGAACGAACCCUUCGGGGUUAGUGGCGCACGGGUGCGUAACGCGUGGGAACCUGCCUUUAGGUUCGGAAUAACUCAGAGAAAUUUGAGCUAAUACCGGAUAAUGUCUUCGGACCAAAGAUUUAUCGCCUUUAGAUGGGCCCGCGUUGGAUUAGCUAGUUGGUGGG